rnacentral:rRNA from 1 species
AAUGAACGCUGGCGGCAUGGCUAAGACAUGCAAGUCGAACGGACUAUGUUGAAGAGUAAUCCGAUGCAUAGUUAGUGGCGAAAGGGUGAGGAAUAGACAGGUAACGUACCUUUGGCUUCGGAAUAGCCUAUCGAAAGGUAGGGUAAUGCCGGAUGAUGUCAUCCGUGUAAUGCGGGUGACCAAAGAUUUAUCGGACAAAGAGCGGCCUGUUUCCUAUCAGCUUGUUGGUGAGGUAAUGGCUCACCAAGGCGACGACGGGUAGCGGGACUGAGAGGUUGGCCCGCCACAUCGGGACUGAGACACUGCCCGGACCUCCACGGAGGGCUGCAGUAACGAAUAUUGGGCAAUGGGCGAAAGCCUGACCCAGCAAUGCCGCGUGUAGGAUGAAGCUUUUCGGAGUGUAAACUGCUUUCAGGGAUUAGAAAGCUACGGUUGAUCAAUCCCGGAAGAAGUCACGGCUAACUUCGUGCCAGCAGCCGCGGUAAUACGAAGGUGGCAAGCGUUAUUCGAAAUCACUGGGCUUAAAGGGUGCGUAGGCGGAACUGUAAGUGUCUUGUGAAAUCCCUCGGCUUAACCGAGGAAUGGCUUGGCAAACUACAGUUCUUGAGGCAAGUAGGGGUGUGUGGAACUCUUGGUGGAGCGGUGGAAUGCGUAGAUAUCAAGAGGAAGGCCGAAGGUGAAGACAGCACACUGGACUUGUACUGACGCUGAGGCACGAAAGCGUGGGGAGCAAACAGGAUUAGAUACCCUGGUA